rnacentral:rRNA from 1 species
GACGGAGGAUGCAAGCGUUAUCCGGAAUGAUUGGGCGUAAAGCGUCCGCAGGUGGCAGUUCAAGUCUGCUGUCAAAGACCGGGGCUUAACUUCGGAAAGGCAGUGGAAACUGAACAGCUAGAGUAUGGUAGGGGCAGAGGGAAUUCCUGGUGUAGCGGUGAAAUGCGCAGAUAUCAGGAAGAACACCCGUGGCGAAGGCGGCUUUCUGGGACGGUACUGACGCUGAGACGCGAAAGCGUGGGGAGCGAACAGG